AGUCACUGACAUUAGAUACCCCCGUAGUCCCAGCCGUAAACGAUGUGCGUUAGGUGUAUCGACGACCACGCGUUACUGAUGCGCCGAAGAGAAAUCGUGAAACGCACCACCUGGGAAGUACGGUCGCAAGGCUGAAACUUAAAGGAAUUGGCGGGGAGCACCACAACAGGUGGAGCCUGCGGUUUAAUUGGAUCCAACGCCGGACAUCUCACCGGAUAAGACAGCUGAAUGAUUGUCAAUCUGAAGGUUUUACAUGACUAGCUG
rnacentral:rRNA from 1 species